GUUACUUCAGUCGCAAUGCAAGCACGGAGCAAAAUGGUUGGUUAGCUGGUUCGUUCCAGCCUAUGUGGCAUCGGUUUGACCCGAAAAAUCAGUUGUUCCUGAUGUAUAUUACUUCAAAAUAGUUGUCUCCAAAUCUCAUGAGUGGUCCAUUAUUAGUCAGUUAUUUGAGGACUGAAUAAAAGUUUAAAAAAAUGACUACCCCGAAGGAUUCCUGAUCGCGUUGCUUCUAUUUGCUCAGCAUGCUCUGAUGAAGAAAAAUGUGAAAAUGAAGAAUUACAUGAAAGAACUUUUCUGUGAAUUUCUGUUAAAUGGUCUAUAAAUGGCUGUAGAGUGCAAAAUUUGCGGGCUAGCAAAAUGAUGAAUUGGCAAAAUACACGUCGCCUCUGCUUUGCUUCGUUAUGGAUAACGUUGAAAUUGGAUCAGCAAAUGAGCGAAUACGGGUUGACAAUAAUGAAGGGUGCUGGAAUUGCUGACAGUUAAGUUUGCGCUUUUUUUGCUGAACGCACAGUUUGAGUGGAUUGCCCUCGGCAGUUGAAAUCAAAUAUACUGUUUUGCCUAAUUAUUCUUUCGAAAUGGAGAAUCAGCCGAAAAUUACAUACCGGUUUUUUGUGAGCUUUUCUGGAUGUUGUAGCCCCACUGUUCCCUGGAUUUAGUGGAUUUCACAACGCGCAAGUAACUUUUGUUGUACGAUUUAGAAUUAGAUUAGGUACGA